rnacentral:rRNA from 1 species
AUACGGAGGAUGCAAGCGUUAUCCGGAUUUAUUGGGUUUAAAGGGUGCGUAGGCUGUUCGGAAAGUCAGGGGUGAAAGCCCGGCGCCUAACGCCGGAACUGCCUUUGAUACUUCCGAGCUGGAAUACGGAUGCCGUGGGAGGAAUGAGUAGUGUAGCGGUGAAAUGCAUAGAUAUUACUCAGAACACCGAUUGCGAAGGCAUCUCACGAAUCCGUCAUUGACGCUGAGGCACGAAAGCGUGGGGAUCAAACAGGAUUAGAUACCCUGGUAGUCCACGCAGUAAACGAUGAUGACUAACCGUCGGCGAUACACAGUCGGUGGCCAAGCGAAAGCGAUAAGUCAUCCACCUGGGGAGUACGCCGGCAACGGUGAAACUUAAAUGAAUUGACGGGG